CCUACGGGAGGCAGCAGUAGGGAAUUUUCGGCAGUGGGCGAAAGCCUGACCGAGCAAUGCCGCGUGAACGAAGAAGAUCUUCGGAUUGUAAAGUUCUGUUGUUAGGAAAGAAUACUAUAUAUAGGAAAUGAUAUAUAGAUGACGGUACCUAACUAGAAAGCCCCGGCUAACUAUGUGCCAGCCGCCGCGGUAAU
rnacentral:rRNA from 1 species